rnacentral:rRNA from 1 species
GACGAACGCUGGCGGCGUGCCUAAUACAUGCAAGUAGAACGCUGAAGGAGGGGCUUGCUUCUCCGGAUGAGUUGCGAACGGGUGAGUAACGCGUAGGUAACCUGCCUGGUAGCGGGGGAUAACUAUUGGAAACGAUAGCUAAUACCGCAUAAGAGUAGAUGUCGCAUGACAUUUGCUUAAAAGGUGCAACUGCACCACUACCAGAUGGACCUGCGUUGUAUUAGCUGGUUGGUGAGGUAACGGCUCACCAAGGCAACGAUACAUAGCCGACCUGAGAGGGUGAUCGGCCACACUGGGACUGAGACACGGCCCAGACUCCUACGGGAGGCAGCAGUAGGGAAUCUUCGGCAAUGGACGGAAGUCUGACCGAGCAACGCCGCGUGAGUGAAGAAGGUUUUCGGAUCGUAAAGCUCUGUUGUAAGAGAAGAACGAGUGUGAGAGUGGAAAGUUCACACUGUGACGGUAUCUUACCAGAAAGAGACGGCUAACUACGUG